ACACACUCUUCAUCAUCACACAAGACUAAACUACAACUAUGAACAACAUCAUCAUCUUCAUCUGGACCAUUGCACUGUUUAUUCAAGAGUGUAGAGGACAGUAUACUGUAACUCAGAGUCCAUCAAUAUCAGCAGUUCAACCAGGAGAAGAAGUCAGAAUAAACUGUAAAACCAGCAGUGAUGUGCAUGGUGGUAGUUAUUUACACUGGUACUCACAGAAACCUGGAGAAGCUCCUAAACUCCUCAUAUAUCUGACAUCAACCCUUUAUACUGGAACUCACUCUAGAUUCAGUGGCAGUGGAUCUGGCAGUGAUUUUACUCUGACCAUCAGUGGAGUCCAGACUGAAGAUACAGGAGAUUAUUACUGUCAGAGUUUACACAUUCCAAGUCAGUGGGUGUUCACACAGUGAUAA